CGAAGAGAUAACCUCAUCAGACAUAAAAAAGAAAAACAUCGUUCAAAUAUUAUAAUCCAACAACAACCAACCAUAACCAAGCGAGAAAUUCAAGAUUUUUUUAAACCAGCUGAACAAAUUUACGAUUAUGAUGUUCAAUCUCGCAAUGGUCAUAAGCGCUCAUAUCAUAAGGAAAAUUCAAACGAAGCGGCAAAUGCUAAAAAAGCACGUUUACUUCUUGUACAGUCUCCCGGCUUUAUCGAAAUUUCGUCUUCUGCAAAUAGAAAAGUCGUAUGGUAUUACGUGAAAAAUUUCGAAAAUAUUCAAAACUAUAUCGAAUUUUUUAAUUCGAUUAAAUCUGAAUUAGUCGAGUUACUAAAAUCACAAGCGUCUAAACAUCCGAUCAAGUUUAAUUUAAAGCUGGAAGCUACGUACAAUAUUCCGAAUGUUGAUAAUUCAACAGAGAACCGUUCAUUUAAGACCUCAGCCAGACCAAUUUUUU